rnacentral:rRNA from 1 species
CGAUUAAGUAAUGAAGGGCGCACGGUGGAUGCCUUGGCACUAAGAGCCGAUGAAGGACGGAACAAACACCGAUAUGCUCUGGGGAGCUGUAAGUAAGCGUUGAUC